CACAGACUGGAUCCUCACAGACUGGGGACCUCCUGCUGCUAACCUCAUUCUCCAGGCCGGCUAUUUAAAAGCAAAUAAUUCUGCAGUGAAGAAAAAGUUCAACCGAUGGAACACUGCCAUUGUAUAGGCUCUUUGCAAGUAUUGUCCGUGAAAGACUACGCUUAGAAUCACCGUGAGGGGGAACCAGAAUGCAUUGUGGGAGGUGUAAGAGUUCUUGAACUAGAGAAAGACUAAUCCAAGCAGUCCUCAAAGUACAGUCCUUGUGAAGCAUUGCAUCAGCAUCUUUCAGAUUUCAGGUCUUGGUGACACAGAAGUGACUACUGGGUGCACUGAACCAAGCUGUGAAGUCUCUCCUUGAGGGAAAAGAAGGCA